rnacentral:lncRNA from 1 species
UGGGUGUGUAGCGCACCACACUUAUGGAUAGGAGGCUACAAGAUAUUUUAAGAAAAGUUUCCCUUUAUUCAAUAUUCAUGUCGUUCAAGUAAGCGUAAGCUCAAAUUAAACUCUCAGUCUAAUCCUUUUCUCCCUUCCGUUUACAGAACAUGCCUCUAAAGAAGAAUGGAAGAAGAACAGGAAAUCAGCUAGUACCUAAGCAAGUCCAGCCAGAUCCUCUAGAUGAGCAUGUCUCCCACUCAAAAUUCAGAGCAGCUUUCACCACCCAAGAUCAUUUUAUGGCAUCCCAUAAUGAAUGCCCAAUUGUCGUUCCGACC